UUAUUGUGGAAUAGAUGGAUGUGAACAGGAUUUCAGAGUUUUUAACUCGUUCUUUCGCCACAUUAAACGGACGCACCCUCUGUAUUUGACAAAUGGAUGCCCAUCAAGAGGAUGGAGGACGACAUCUACAUCACGCUCUUUAGGCUCGGAAGUUUUUGGUGUUUCGGUCUUUGCCAACUGUAGCACUCCUGCAACAACCAGCACUGUGGAAAUAUUGACUGGUGCAUCUUUGCCUGAAACGCAGCAGCCUCAGCUUACUGGCAGUCCUGUCACCGAAGAAGCUGUUGCUGUAACAUCCACAACCAGACCUGAUAUUGCCAGAUCUGCGGCGGCUUUUGCCAUCAGUGUCAAGGAACAGUGCCACUUGUCACAGAGAAUGGUCAACCAUAUAAUCUCAGGAGUGCAACAAUAUCAAGUUGUUCUUCUGGAUACGGUGAAGGAGAGAAUGAGAAAGGUGUUUGAAGAGCAUCCUGACCUCACCACUCACUUUCAAGAUGAUGUUUUGGCUACAUUUGAUACGUUCGUGGAUCCUUUCUCCACCAUUGCAUAUGGACAACAUACGGCCACUCGGGAAGUAGUCAACCCAGAGGAAGUAGUAGUAUCCCAGAAGAUUUGCUGGGUAAAGCAAGGUCUUUCAAGGGUCAUGUCCAUAAGGAAUAAAAGUUUUUACUAUGUACCUCUAAUUGAAAGUCUAAAGCAAUUAUUGACUAAUGUGAGAAUCUUCACCAUGUUGAAUACUGCACCACAGAGAAGCAGAGAGGGAUACUUUUACAAUUUUACUGAUGGGUCCCUCUUUACAUCUCACCCAUUAUUUUCUCAAAGGCCUAAUGCAUUGCAAAUAAUACUGUACACGGAUGAAAUUGAAAUUUGUAACCCCUUAGGGUCCCAUGCUUCUGCAAAUAAAUUGGUCAUGUUU